rfam:Homo sapiens chromosome 7, GRCh38 reference primary assembly.
AUCCUUUUGUAGUUUGUAAGGGUGAUGAUUGGGGUUUCAUGCUUAUAUGUGAGACAUGCCUCCCUCAAACCUUGUUAUGUCAGCACAUUACCCAUCUGAUG